rnacentral:ncRNA from 2 species
AACUUAAUAGGCGAUGACGUUCGCCGCAAACAAUUAUUGAUAAUUUGAUGACGUCUACUGCAUG